GGGGAAUCUUCCGCAAUGGACGAAAGUCUGACGGAGCAACGCCGCGUGAGUGAUGACGGCCUUCGGGUUGUAAGGCUCUGUUAAUCGGGACGAAAGGCCUUCUUGCGAAUAGUUAGAAGGAUUGACGGUACCGGAAUAGAAAGCCACGGCUAACUACGUGCCAGCAGCCGCGGUAAUACGUAGGUGGCAAGCGUUGUCCGGAAUUAUUGGGCGUAAAGCGCGCGCAGGCGGAUUGGUCAGUCUGUCUUAAAAGUUCGGGGCUUAACCCCGUGAUGGGAUGGAAACUGCCAAUCUAGAGUAUCGGAGAGGAAAGUGGAAUUCCUAGUGUAGCGGUGAAAUGCGUAGAUAUUAGGAAGAACACCAGUGGCGAAGGCGACUUUCUGGACGAAAACUGACGCUGAGGCGCGAAAGCCAGGGGAGCGAACGGGAUUAGAUACCCCGGUAGUCCUGGCCGUAAACGAUGGGUACUAGGUGUAGGAGGUAUCGACCCCUUCUGUGCCGGAGUUAACGCAAUAAGUACCCCGCCUGGGGAGUACGACCGCAAGGUUG
rnacentral:rRNA from 1 species